UACGGGGGGGGCAGGCGUUGUUCGGAAUUACUGGGCGUAAAGGGCUCGUAGGCGGCCAACUAAGUCAGACGUGAAAUCCCUCGGCUUAAUCGGGGAACUGCAUCUGAUACUGGAUGGCUUGAGUUCGGGAGAGGGAUGUGGAAUUCCAGGUGUAGCGGUGAAAUGCGUAGAUAUCUGGAGGAACACCGGUGGCGAAGGCGGCAUCCUGGACCGACACUGACGCUGAUGAGCGAAAGCCAGGGGAGCAAACGGG
rnacentral:rRNA from 1 species